CUGACCUCAAAUCAGGUAGGGCUACCCGCUGAACUUAAGCA
rnacentral:rRNA from 1 species